AUUGAACGCUGGCGGCAUGCCUUACACAUGCAAGUCGAACGGAUUGAGGGGCUUGCUCCUCAGUUAGUGGCGAACGGGUGAGUAAUGCAUCGGAACGUACCCAGUCGUGGGGGAUAACGUAGCGAAAGUUACGCUAAUACCGCAUACGAUCUGAGGAUGAAAGCGGGGGACCUUCGGGCCUCGCGCGAUUGGAGCGGCCGAUGUCGGAUUAGCUAGUUGGUGAGGUAAAGGCUCACCAAGGCGACGAUCCGUAGCUGGUCUGAGAGGACGACCAGCCACACUGGAACUGGGACACGGUCCAGACUCCUACGGGAGGCAGCAGUGGGGAAUUUUGGACAAUGGGCGAAAGCCUGAUCCAGCCAUGCCGCGUGAGUGAAGAAGGCCUUCGGGUUGUAAAGCUCUUUCAGACGGAAAGAAAUCUCUCGGGUGAAUAUCCCGGGAGGAUGACGGUACCGUAAGAAGAAGCACCGGCUAACUACGUGCCAGCCGCCGCCGUAAUAC
rnacentral:rRNA from 1 species